AAGAGUAACAAUUGCAGCUAAAAUCAUAUAUUUAACGAUAAUUAAGAAUUAAAUGCCGUUAAAAAAUAUUUUUAUUGUUGAGAUAUAAUUUGAAACUCUAUCUAUAGGUGCAUUUAUUACUUAACUACCUCAACUAAUUGAAAUAUUGAUGCCACGACCAUAAAUCUUUAAUAUGGUGGUGAAAUAUUGCAACUAAUUGGGUGGUGAAAUAAUUGGAGUAUAUGUUUAUUUGAAGUUAUUAAAGAGUUAAGGUCUAUAAUCACCGGUGUGGUGGAGUAUUUGGAAUUUUAUUUUUAGCAAAAAGUACAAGGUUUAAGAAUUAAAAAUGAAAAAAAAGG
rnacentral:misc_RNA from 1 species